CGUAGGGUGCAAGCGUUAAUCGGAAUUACUGGGCGUAAAGCGUGCGCAGGCGGUUGUGCAAGACCGAUGUGAAAGCCCCGGGCCUAACCUGGGAAUGGCAUUGGUGACUGCACGGCUAGAGUGUGUCAGAGGGGGGUAGAAUUCCACGUGUAGCAGUGAAAUGCGUAGAGAUGUGGAGGAAUACCGAUGGCGAAGGCAGCCCCCUGGGAUAACACUGACGCUCAUGCACGAAAGCGUGGGGAGCAAACAGGAUUAGAUACCCUGGUAGUCCACGCCCUAAACGAUGUCAACUAGUUGUCGGGUCUUAAUUGACUUGGUAACGCAGCUAACGCGUGAAGUUGACCGCCUGGGGAGUACGGUCGCAAGAUUA
rnacentral:rRNA from 1 species